UACAGAGGGUGCAAGCGUUGUUCGGAAUUAUUGGGCGUAAAGCGCGCGCAGGCGGUUUCUUAAGUCUGAUGUGAAAGCCCACGGCUUAACCGUGGAAGGUCAUUGGAAACUGGGAGACUUGAGUGCAGAAGAGAAGAGCGGAAUUCCACGUGUAGCGGUGAAAUGCGUAGAGAUGUGGAGGAACACCAGUGGCGAAGGCGGCUCUUUGGUCUGUAACUGACGCUGAGGCGCGAAAGCGUGGGGAUCAAACAGG
rnacentral:rRNA from 1 species